rnacentral:rRNA from 1 species
CCUACGGGAGGCUGCAGUGGGGAAUAUUGCACAAUGGGGGAAACCCUGAUGCAGCAACGCCGCGUGAGUGAGGAAGUAUUUCGGUAUGUAAAGCUCUAUCAGCAGGGAAUAGAAAAGAAGGUACCUGAAAAAGAAGCCCCGGCUAACUACGUGCCAGCAGCCGCGGUAAUACGUAGGGGGCAAGCGUUAUCCGGAUUUACUGGGUGUAAAGGGAGCGUAGACGGAAAGGCAAGUCAGAAGUGAAAACCCAGGGCUCAACCCUGGGACUGCUUUGGAAACUGUGGAGCUAGAGUGCUGGAGAGGUAAGUGGAAUUCCUAGUGUAGCGGUGAAAUGCGUAGAUAUUAGGAGGAACACCAGUGGCGAAGGCGGCUUACUGGACAGUAACUGACGUUGAGGCUCGAAAGCGUGGGGAGCAAACAGGAUUAGAUACCCCGGUAGUC